AGAUUGAACGCUAGCGGGAUGCUUUACACAUGCAAGUCGAACGGCAGCGCGGACUUCGGUCUGGCGGCGAGUGGCGAACGGGUGAGUAAUAUAUCGGAACGUGCCCAGUAGCGGGGGAUAACUACGCGAAAGCGUGGCUAAUACCGCAUACGCCCUACGGGGGAAAGGGGGGAUUCUUCGGAACCUCUCACUAUUGGAGCGGCCGAUAUCAGAUUAGCUAGUUGGUGAGGUAAAGGCUCACCAAGGCGACGAUCUGUAGCUGGUUUGAGAGGACGACCAGCCACACUGGGACUGAGACACGGCCCAGACUCCUACGGGAGCAGCAGUGGGGAAUUUGGACAAUGGGCGAAAGCCUGAUCCAGCCAUCGCCGCGUG
rnacentral:rRNA from 1 species